rnacentral:lncRNA from 1 species
UGCAACAGGGUGCUCCCCUCACACGCAGGAGAGAGGAGGGACCCAGAAAAAUGGUGUUCAAGGCCUUAUAAAGACUUUUGAAAUUGCCACCCUGUAGAUCAAGACCACCCCCAGAAACAUCAUACCUACAUCACAGAAGGGGUGUAACCUAAGACCACCCCUCAGAUACAUCACACCUACAUCACAGAAGGGGUGUAACCUCAGACCACCCCUCAGAUACAUCAUACCUACAUCACAGAAAAGGCGGUCUAAAACAGAAAUUUGAAUGUUGUUUUUCUCCUGUCUGGCAGGUUACUUGAUUGGAUUGCCUGGGGAUCCUGGCCAGUCUUUUGUAGUGAUAAAUACUUAGUUCCUGGGCCAGGUCACAGGCUCACACCCUAUUCAUAUCUCAAAUGUGCCCUUAAGACAGGAUUUGUGAGGAAAGAGACAAUGGGGAGGCUUUUCCACUUUGACCUUGCAGAGAAAACAUUGGCUCAGUUUAGGAAUCAAAAUGGUUCCAGGUCGGUCUUCCUGUGCUGAUCUAUGUCCGUGCGGUUAUGAACAUUACCAUAUAUCUAAGACCUCAAAAUUCCUAUCACAAC